UACGAAGGGGGCUGGCGUUGUUCGGAAUUACUGGGCGUAAAGCGCACGUAGGCGGAUACUUAAGUCAGGGGUGAAAUCCCGGGGCUCAACCCCGGAACUGCCUUUGAUACUGGGUAUCUCGAGUCCGGAAGAGGUGAGUGGAAUUCCGAGUGUAGAGGCGAAAUUCGUAGAUAUUCGGAGGAACACCAGUGGCGAAGGCGGCUCACUGGUCCGGUACUGACGCUGAGGUGCGAAAGCGUGGGGAGCAAACAGG
rnacentral:rRNA from 1 species